rnacentral:lncRNA from 1 species
CCUUUUGUGGCUGUGACUGCCCGCCCUCACAACGGCCCGUUUUCUUCCCAGUGCUCUGAACUUUUGGGCAAAUGUGUCAAGUGUGUACACAGACAAAGCCUCACUUCAAAGCUCGUGUUCAGGGCCCUUAAAGUCAUAGUUAUUGCAAAACUGCGGCCGUCUGGCGAACCUGCCUUAUGUAAGGGUGCUUGAACGUAUGAUUCACCAAACAUUUCCGCAGACAUCGCAAAGUUGUUGGAGCCAGAGUAGGAGAAAGACCACCCAUUUGAGAUCAUGGCUUGACAGGGAACACUCCCUCCUGCCACCAGAAUGGGACCAAUCUAGACAUCUCUUCUCUGGCUUCCUUGUGCCUGGCCUUUUUUGGAGGGUUGGGAUAGUGGCCUGUCUUCAUGCAUGGUGAGAUAACACCAACAUCGAAGGAAGAUCUUUGCCACAGAGGAUCCUAGUUCCAGCUCCCAGAAUGACACUUUAACGGGAAAUCAUCUGAUUUUCUUUUUCUGGCCGUGAGACUAAUGGAAGUUUUCAUGUGAGUGUCCAAAGAGAUGAUCUUGGAGUCUGGGAUACAACCAAGGAAGCAGCACGUCUGCCUGCACAUUAUGAUGCCUCCCACCAUGAUGACAAUGGACUAAAACCUCUGAAACUGUCCGGCUUGUUUGAUGUGGGAGCUAAGUCGGUCUAUACUGGUCUAACACAAAGCGAACACCCCAAGCGGGCCUGGACUAGAGAGGCUACCUGAACUGUGGCGUGCUUAAAGCAGUACCACAGAGAUGGGAGGCACCCAAGAGUCUUUGCCCCAUCAGGUGCUGCAAGAAACCUCUUCACUGAGCAGUUUAUAAACAAGUGUACUCCUCAGAGUCUGGAGGAAGGAGGUCUAAGAUGUAUCGGCCCCAACGCCUCCUAUCUUGUGGAUCGAGUUCCUGUGGAGGAAGCUAACACAGCGGUAAGCAAAUGUGGACUGACAGAGGACACAGGGCCAUUCGAGAAACUGUCAGAAACUGAGAAUCACCUCAGAACACGCUGAGAAGGAGAGCUAAGGAGGUGAGGCCUGGGUUGUGGGAGGUUGGCACCUGACAGCAGUGGUUCCCACUGCUGGGUUCUCUUCUGGUUUUGAUUGUCUACGCUCAGGCUUCAGAGCCCUGGGCAUGAGAAAAAAAAAGGGAGAAUGAAUACGUUAGUAUUCCAUGAAGGCAUAGAAGCAGGUAUGUGGGAAUGGCUGUCGUUCCAUCUUCUGGGUAGUCAUGGCUGUCAGGUGGGAGGCCCAGGGAGAGCCAGUGUCCCGUCAGUCAAAACCAUGGCAGGGUGGCUUACAUUCUAUCUCAGAUAAAUUCUUUUUGUUUGGUAGAGAAGCAUUCUCUCUGCUCUAUUUCAGCUUCGGUUAAAUGGACUACGAGGACCCACGUCAUAGAGGGAAGUCUGUCUCACUGAUUCUGAUUUUUUUCAAAUAAAAUGUUUUCUUU